GCUUGUAUGGCGCAGCGGUACUUAGCGCGUUGCUCUUAUAAGUAACAGGCCAUCUGGUUCUUUAUGUUAUGCAAAGGUCGUGGGUUCGAAUCCCACUACAAGCA